rnacentral:misc_RNA from 1 species
AGCAGCCGCGGUAAUUCCAGCUCCUAUAGCGUAUAUUAAAGUUGUUGCAGUUAAAAGCUCGUAGUUGAAUUUCGGAGUUCUACCGUCGGUCGGGCUACCAAGUCUGUACUGGUGUGUAGAAUUCCUACCUUCUGGGGAACUAUCAUGUUAUUAAUUUAGCGUGGUGGGAAACCAGGACUUUUACCUUGAAAAAUUAGAGUGUUCAAAGCAGGCUUAUGUCUGAAUACAUUAGCAUGGAAUAAUAGAAUAGGACGGUGGACCUGUUUUGUUGGUUUCUGAAUCACCGUAAUGAUUAAUAGGGAUAGUUGGGGGCAUUAGUAUUCAAUUGUCAGAGGUGAAAUUCUUGGAUUUAUUGAAGACUAACUUCUGCGAAAGCAUUUGCCAAGGAUGUUUUCAUUAAUCAAGAACGAAAGUUAGGGAUCGAAGACGAUCAGAUACCGUCGUAGUCUUAACCAUAAACUAUGCCGACUAGGGAUCGGACGAUGUUAAAUUUUAUUGACUCGUUCGGCGCCUUACGGGA